GGACGACGAAGUGUUUGUUUCUGGUGAGUUUAUUUUUGAAACCCAUCUGCCAUGUGGUUUCUGUUGGGCAGAGUAUUUGGGAGGAGGCAUUUAGAACUUGGGAAGGGCCAAGCGUCUCUGUUUGGGACCCUGUGGGGCUGCACUUAACAUGUGGCAUCUCCUCAGGCUCCACCCCACCUCCUGGCUGUGCUGUGCGAAGCUGCCUCUCGGCCAGUGGUCUACAGGCUCUGACCCAGUCUCCGCUGCUGUUUCAGGGGAAGAUGCCUUCCUCUCAGAGCAAGGACACCAGAGGUAAUCUCCUUGUUAAAGGUCCUGGUAACUUUUAUCAGGGCCACGGUGCUCCCCUGUGGAUGACUUGGAGAAUUCACUCAGGGUUGCCAAGCAAAUCAAUUUUGGAGGAAUCUUGGGGAUGCCAAGUAAGGGAUAGAUGGCUUUGUGCCUCAGAUGUUGUGUACCCUUCCCAGAAGUAAAGCUUGGGUGCAUCUGAACAAAAACCUUCUCAAGAUCCUACCAGUUUUGAAGAUGGUGACAGCAUUGGGACACCAUGACACUGCUUGUCUGUAAUCUUAGAAUCUGAACAGGAAAGCACUUGGGCCACAGAAAUGUUAUGUUCAGAGACAGCCAUUCCUGCCAGUAGGCUAUUCCCCUUCCUUGUGCCCUUUCUCAGGCCCUCUAUAAAAGCACAGGAUUUGCUGUUCAUUGCACUGGCUAGAAAUGUUUUCUUCUGUAACAUGGGAGGAGGAACACAGGAUGUGGAGGUCUCUGUAAGUCAUGCAAAGUAGUAUAACCCCCACAGAUCCAAAACCUAAAAGAAUGUACAAUACAGAAAAUUGAGGAAACACAAGUUCAAGUACUUUGCAUUUCCACAGUGGCUUAUUGUUGUCAACCUGAUGCCCAAGCAUGAAAGGUGAAGAGCAUUAUCACAAGUGAGGGUAACACAGUACUGAUUUUCUUAAAUUUAUUUGUGUGUGUGACCCUUUGCUGUUCAAGCCCAUUUUCUUUUGUUCAGUCCACAGUCUCUUCUCUACCUUUUUCUAGAUGAGGAUGUGGAUGUGUUUCCCUCUACUUCAGAAGAAUCUCCAUUCAGUCAAGCCUUCUCCAGGAGGCGUCCCUUCAGCAGAACUUACACACGGAAGAAGCUCAUUAGCUAGUUAGGACGGGCCCCAGUUGAAGGAUUUACAACUACAAAUGCUGCUAAGCCUGACCAGAUCCUCUGCAUGUCCUGGACAGAAUUGCUCUGAGAGUGGUUUCUCUGGGCAUAGCAAUUCCAAACUCAACAUCAAGGUAUUCCAGCAGUGUGCCUAGAACAGGAAUGACCAGGGAUUGAUGGGACCAAAAAAGUUCAACAGGUGAAAUUGAAGUCAUCCAGGUCCCCAUGGGCUUAAGAGAAAUUGGCGACCUGGUCCCAAAUCUCCCUAGCCAGUUUUCAGAUUCCCUCUGGAAUACCUUGUGGUAAUCAAAUUCCCCUCAUGGAAUCUGUCUCUUCCUAGUCCUGCCCGUUGUUCGAGAGGUCAGGUGGACGGCUGUGCAGCUGGAGCUGUAACUCAGGCAACCUGAAACAGGGAACUAUAAGAUGGGAUCCCAUUACAGCAACACCCUGACUAUAACCUUGGCAGGUCAGAAGGCCACUGCCUUGCUUAUGAGAACAGAAAGGAAAGUACCUCAUGGGGUGCUUCAGAAGUUGCUAUAAGACUGGGAUGGCAUAAACAGUGCUUUGUAAACUGUGAAGCCCAGUGCGUGAAAUUAAAGGAUGCAUAUGCAAGAGAAUGUUUUGUCUUCUCUGUUUAACAAUAAAAU
rnacentral:lncRNA from 1 species